UACGAAGGGGGCUAGCGUUGCUCGGAAUCACUGGGCGUAAAGGGCGCGUAGGCGGCUUAUCAAGUCGGGGGUGAAAGCCCGUGGCUCAACCACGGAAUGGCCUUCGAUACUGGUAGGCUUGAGACCGGAAGAGGACAGCGGAACUGCGAGUGUAGAGGUGAAAUUCGUAGAUAUUCGCAAGAACACCAGUGGCGAAGGCGGCUGUCUGGUCCGGUUCUGACGCUGAGGCGCGAAAGCGUGGGGAGCAAACGGG
rnacentral:rRNA from 1 species